GGGCGGGCCAAAACUCCCAGGGGGGGCGUGGCUUGUAAAGGAGGCCCCUCCCCCUCCUCUGUAUAUCUGGGUCUGGGGGGCUCCCAAGAGUGGCGGAUCUUUAUUGGGUGGGGGGGUUGUUUUAAGCACUGUUAGGCUGUUCUAUGGGCCGGGCUCGGGAGGUCCAUAGGUCUUACGAAUGGGGUCUUCGUGCCUAUGGUGCCUGCUUUCACAGUGAUUUGGGGGGGGGUCUUAGUGGUCUCAAUGGGGGGGGGUCCCUCAUGGGGGGGGCUAUGGGGGUCCUAAAGCUCCAUAGGGGAUAAUGGGGGGGUCUUAAGACUCCAUAGUGGUGUAUGGGGGGGUCCCAGGGCUCCAUAGGGAACAAUGGGGGCAGGGGUCUUAAGGGGGGUCCCACAUCUCCAUAGGGGUCUCAGUGAGUCCAUAGGGGUCCGGGGGGGUCCCACAGCCCCAUAGGGCUCCAUGGCUGCUCCCGGUGCCAUUCCCGGUUCCGAUCCCGGUUCAGAUCCCGGUUCCAUUCCCCAUUCAGAUCCCGGUUCGGAUCCCGGUUCGGUUCCCCCUUCACCUCCAUCCCGUUGGGCUCCAUCCCGUUCGGAUCCCGGUUCGAUUCCCCGUUAUUCGAAUCCCGGUUCGAUUCCCCCUUCAGUUCCAUCCCGUUCGGAUCCCGGUUCCAUUCCCCGUUUAAAUCCCGGUUCUGAUCCCAGUUUAAAUCCCGGUUCGGAUCCCGGUUCGGAUCCCGGUUCCAUUCCCCGUUAUUCGGAUCCCGGUUCGAUUCCCCCUUCAGUUCCAUCCCGUUCAGUUCCCGGUUCCAUUCCCCGUUUAACUCCCGUUUCGGCUCCCGUUUCGGCUCCCCGUUCACCUCGCUCCCGUUCGCCUCCAUCCCGUCGUUCCUCCGGUUCCAUCCCGUCUCCAUCCGGUUCCGUUCCGUCCGGUUCCCCCCUGUUUCCGUUCCUGAGGCUGGCGGCCAACACGAUCCCCUGCACGGCGGCGUAGGCGGCCCCGAGCGGCAGCAUCAGCUCCUGCAGCACCAACCGGAGCCCGGCGGCCGCCAUGAUGAACGCGGCCAGGCCUUGACACCAGGCCCCGGCCGCUCCGUUCAACCCUAUGGCCGUUAA
rnacentral:lncRNA from 1 species